GAUGAACGCUGGCGGCGUGCCUAAUACAUGCAAGUCGAGCGAACGGACGAGAAGCUUGCUUCUCUGAUGUUAGCGGCGGACGGGUGAGUAACACGUGGAUAACCUACCUAUAAGACUGGGAUAACUUCGGGAAACCGUAGCUAAUACCGGAUAAUAUUUUGAACCGCAUGGUUCAAAAGUGAAAGGCGGUCUUGCUGCCACUUAUAGAUGGAUCCGCGCUGCAUUAGCUAGUUGGUAAGGUAACGGCUUACCAAGGCAACGAUGCAUAGCCGACCUGAGAGGGUGAUCGGCCACACUGGAACUGAGACACGGUCCAGACUCCUACGGGAGGCAGCAGUAGGGAAUCUUCCGCAAUGGGCGAAAGCCUGACGGAGCAACGCCGCGUGAGUGAUGAAGGUCUUCGGAUCGUAAAACUCUGUUAUUAGGGAAGAACAUAUGUGUAAGUAACUGUGCACAUCUUGACGGUACCUAAUCAGAAAGCCACGGCUAACUACGUG
rnacentral:rRNA from 1 species